rnacentral:ncRNA from 1 species
AGGUGCUGGAAAGCUUAAUAGGGAAUCAGGUGAAAGGCCUGAACAGUCCCGCUGCUGUAAGUCGCAUCACUUAGCACAACCCACAGUCACUGAGAAAUCGGGAAGACAUUUGUGCUAAGCGACAAGUCAGAAGACCUGCCAAUGCACAU